rnacentral:rRNA from 1 species
GAUGAACGCUGGCGGCGUGCCCAAUACAUGCAAGUCGAGCGAACAGAUGAGGAGCUUGCUCCUCUGACGUUAGCGGCGGACGGGUGAGUAACACGUGGAUAACCUACCUAUAAGACUGGGAUAACUUCGGGAAACCGGAGCUAAUACCGGAUAAUAUAUUGAACCGCAUGGUUCAAUAGUGAAAGACGGUUUUGCUGUCACUUAUAGAUGGAUCCGCGCCGCAUUAGCUAGUUGGUAAGGUAACGGCUUACCAAGGCAACGAUGCGUAGCCGACCUGAGAGGGUGAUCGGCCACACUGGAACUGAGACACGGUCCAGACUCCUACGGGAGGCAGCAGUAGGGAAUCUUCCGCAAUGGGCGAAAGCCUGACGGAGCAACGCCGCGUGAGUGAUGAAGGUCUUCGGAUCGUAAAACUCUGUUAUUAGGGAAGAACAAAUGUGUAAGUAACUAUGCACGUCUUGACGGUACCUAAGCAGAAAGCCACGGCUAACUACGU